rnacentral:rRNA from 1 species
GUAACGCGUAUACAAUCUACCUUAUGCUGAGGGAUAGCCCAGAGAAAUUUGGAUUAACCCCUCAUGGUAUUAGAGGAUGGCAUCAUUUUUUAAUUAAAGGUUACGGCAUAAGAUGAGUAUGCGUCCCAUUAGCUAGUUGGUAGGGUAACGGCUUACCAAGGCUACGAUGGGUAGGGGUCCUGAGAGGGAGAUCCCCCACACUGGUACUGAGACACGGACCAGACUCCUACGGGAGGCAGCAGUGAGGAAUAUUGGACAAUGGGCGGAAGCCUGAUCCAGCCAUGCCGCGUGCAGGAAGACGGCCCUAUGGGUUGUAAACUGCUUUUAAACGGGAAGAAUAAGACCUACGUGUAGGUUGAUGACGGUACCGUAAGAAUAAGGACCGGCUAACUCCGUGCCAGCAGCCGCGGUAAUACGGAGGGUCCGAGCGUUAUCCGGAAUUAUUGGGUUUAAAGGGUCCGUAGGCGGGCUAUUAAGUCAGGGGUGAAAGUUUGCAGCUCAACUGUAAAAUUGCCUUUGAUACUGGUAGUCUUGAGUUGUAUUGAAGUGGCUGGAAUAUGUAGUGUAGCGGUGAAAUGCAUAGAUAUUACAUAGAACACCGAUUGCGAAGGCAGGUCACUAAGUACACACUGACGCUGAUGGA